rnacentral:rRNA from 1 species
GAUGAACGCUGACAGAAUGCUUAACACAUGCAAGUCUUUGGCGAAGCUGUGCUUGCACAGCCUAGCCAAGGCGGACGGGUGAGUAACGCGUAAGGAACUUGCCCUGCAGUCAGGGAUAACAGACGGAAACGACUGAUAAGACCUGGUAAAGUCAGGCGGACUCAUGUCCAGCCUGAUGAAAAGAGAUGCUGCAGGAGAGCCUUGCGUCCUAUUAGCUUGUUGGUGGGGUAACGGCCCACCAAGGCGAUGAUAGGUAGCCGGCCUGAGAGGGUGGACGGCCACAAGGGGACUGAGAUACGGCCCUUACUCCUACGGGAGGCAGCAGGGGGGAAUAUUGGACAAUGGGGGCAACCCUGAUCCAGCAAUUCUGUGUGCACGAUGAAGGUUUUCGGAUUGUAAAGUGCUUUCAGCAGGGAAGAAAAAAUGACGGUACCUGCAGAAGAAGCGACGGCUAAAUACGUG